CACGUAGGGGCCAAGCGUUGUCCGGAUUUAUUGGGCGUAAAGGGCUCGUAGGCGGUUCGACAAGUCGGGUGUGAAAACUCCGGGCUCAACCCGGAGACGCCACCCGAUACUGUCGUGACUGGAGUCCGGUAGGGGAGUGGGGAAUUCCUGGUGUAGCGGUGAAAUGCGCAGAUAUCAGGAGGAACACCGGUGGCGAAGGCGCCACUCUGGGCCGGUACUGACGCUGAGGAGCGAAAGCGUGGGUAGCAAACAGG
rnacentral:rRNA from 1 species